AUUGAACGCUGGCGGCAGGCCUACAACAUGCAAGUCGAGCGAGCGGCGGACGGGUGAGUAAUGUAUGGGGACUGCCCGAUAGAGGGGGAUAACUACUGGAACCGGUGGCUAAUACCGCAUACUAUCGGAUAACCCAUAUGGGAUUAGCUAGUAGGUGAGGUAACGGCUUACCUAGGCGACGAUCACUUGCUGGUCUUCGAGGGGGAUCAGCCACACUGGGGCGGAGACACGGCCCAGACUCCGACGGAGGCAGCAGUGGGGAAUAUUGCACAAUGGGCGCAAGCCUGAUGCAGCCAUGCCGCGUGUAUGAAGAAGGCCUUCGGGUUGUAAAGUACUUGCAGUCGGGAGGCGUUACCGACAGAAGAAGCACCGGCUAACUCCGUGCCAGCCGCCGCGGUAAUAC
rnacentral:rRNA from 1 species